CUGCGGCAGCGACACUCAGGUGUUGUUGGGUAGGGGAGCGUUCUGUAAGCCUGCGAAGGUGGCCUGUGAGGGUUGCUGGAGGUAUCAGAAGUGCGAAUGCUGACAUAAGUAACGAUAAAGCGGGUGAAAAGCCCGCUCGCCGGAAGACCAAGGGUUCCUGUCCAACGUUAAUCGGGGCAGGGUGAGUCGACCCCUAAGGCGAGGCCGAAAGGCGUAGUCGAUGGGAAACGGGUUAAUAUUCCCGUACUUGGUGUUACUGCGAAGGGGGGACGGAGAAGGCUAUGUUGGCCGGGCGACGGUUGUCCCGGUUUAAGCGUGUAGGUGUGUGUUCCAGGUAAAUCCGGUUCACUUUAACACUGAGGCGUGAUGACGAGGCACUACGGUGCUGAAGCAACAAAUGCCCUGCUUCCAGGAAAAGCCUCUAAGCAUCAGGUAACAUCAAAUCGUACCCCAAACCGACACAGGUGGUCAGGUAGAGAAUACCAAGGCGCUUGAGAGAACUCGGGUGAAGGAACUAGGCAAAAUGGUGCCGUAACUUCGGGAGAAGGCACGCUGACAC
rnacentral:rRNA from 1 species